CUACGGGCGGCUCCAGUGGGGAAUAUUGGACAAUGGACCAAAAGUCUGAUCCAGCAAUUCUGUGUGCACGAUGACGGUUUUCGGAUUGUAAAGUGCUUUCAACAGGGAAGAAGUUCUGACGGUACCUGUAGAAGAAGCGACGGCUAAAUACGUGCCAGCAGCCGCGGUAAUACGUAUGUCGCAAGCGUUAUCCGGAUUUAUUGGGCAUAAAGGGCAUCCAGGCGGCUUAGUAAGUCUGAUGUGAAAAUGCGGGGCUCAACUCCGUAUUGCGUUGGAAACUACUAAGCUAGAGUAUUGGAGAGGUAGGCGGAACUACAUGUGUAGAGGUGAAAUUCGUAGAUAUAUGUAGGAAUGCCGAUGACGAAGGUAGCUUACUGGACAAUUACUGACGCUGAAGUGCGAAAGCUAGGGGAGCAAACAGGAUUAGAUACCCGAGUAGUC
rnacentral:rRNA from 1 species